GAUGGUAUAAUUAUGAUGAUAGAUCNCUAUAAANGCGUACGAGCGUUCAGAUCCAUAACAAAUUCUUUGUAUGAAAUAGUGGAAAAUCGGAUUUAAUGCCGAUUCUACACAUAUGGUAUUGAUAGUUAUGGUAUUCUCGAACCGUUCUUUAUCAUCAGUCAACGGCGUUUAUGUUUUGGGUAAUUACAGGACCCGUCUUGAAACACGGACC
rnacentral:rRNA from 1 species